rnacentral:rRNA from 1 species
GACGAACCGUACGAACGUUAUUCGGAAUCACUGGGCUUAAAGGGUGCGUAGGCGGCGCGACAAGUUGGGUGUGAAAUCCCUCGGCUCAACCGAGGGACUGCGCCCAAAACUGUCGUGCUCGAGGGAGACAGAGGUGAGCGGAACUUAGGGUGGAGCGGUGAAAUGCGUUGAUAUCCUAAGGAACACCGGUGGCGAAAGCGGCUCACUGGGUCUCUUCUGACGCUGAGGCACGAAAGCUAGGGUAGCGAACGGG